UAGGAUAGGUGGGAGGCUUUGAAGUGUGGACGCCAGUCUGCAUGGAGCCGACCUUGAAAUACCACCCUUUAAUGUUUGAUGUUCUAACGUUGACCCGUAAUCCGGGUUGCGGACAGUGUCUGGUGGGUAGUUUGACUGGGGCGGUCUCCUCCUAAAGAGUAACGGAGGAGCACGAAGGUUGGCUAAUCCUGGUCGGACAUCAGGAGGUUAGUGCAAUGGCAUAAGCCAGCUUGACUGCGAGCGUGACGGCGCGAGCAGGUGCGAAAGCAGGUCAUAGUGAUCCGGUGGUUCUGAAUGGAAGGGCCAUCGCUCAACGGAUAAAAGGUACUCCGGGGAUAACAGGCUGAUACCGCCCAAGAGUUCAUAUCGACGGCGGUGUUUGGCACCUCGAUGUCGGCUCAUCACAUCCUGGGGCUGAAGUAGGUCCCAAGGGUAUGGCUGUUCGCCAUUUAAAGUGGUACGCGAGCUGGGUUUAGAACGUCGUGAGACAGUUCG
rnacentral:rRNA from 1 species